rnacentral:lncRNA from 1 species
UCUCAAAUCUUCUUAGUUUGAUAAAGAAAAACGGGAAUUAGGCUAUCUAAAGGUGUAAUGUUAAUCAUUUUUAUUGCAAGCGGUCAGUGUGCUUUUUAGUGGCAAAGCUCAGGGUAUACAUUCCCAAGUUAUCAACUCCAUUUUGUAUGCUUUGUUAUGAUAUUUGCAAGUUAUAGAACAUGAAUUUUGAAUUGUGGUUGCAAAGCUCAGGGUAUACUUUCCCAAGUUAUCAACUCCAAUUUGUAUGCUUUGUUAUGAUAUUUGCAAGUUAAUAUGCGAAUUUAUUUGGUUCUGAUGUUAAUCACUUACUGAUGUCUUCCUAAUAUAUAUAUAUUCUUCAAGAGAAACGGGAAUUAGGCUAUCUAAAGGUGUAAUGUUAAUCAUUUUUAUUGCAAGCGGUCAGUGUGCUUUUUAGUGGCAAAGCUCAGGGUAUACAUUCCCAAGUUAUCAACUCCAUUUUGUAUGCUUUGUUAUGAUAUUUGCAAGUUAAUAUGCGAAUUUAUUUGGUUCUGAUGUUAAUCACUUACUGAUGUCUUCCUAAUAUAUAUAUAUAUAUAUAUAGGAAAAGAGAAUAAUGCCAUAAAAGUGCAAUAUUUAUCAUCAUAUUGCGAGUUUUAGCCACUUGGAUUGAAAUUGUAUACUUCAAAGUCAUUUAGGAAAUCGUAGC